rnacentral:lncRNA from 1 species
CAAAUAUGGGCCCCUUGACCUUGGACUUCCAAACCUCCAGAGCAGUAAAAAAUCAAUCUGCAUAUUUACGUAAAUCACUCAGUCUCAGAUGUUCUGUUAUAGUAGCACAAAAUAGACUAAGACAAUAUCCAUUCAGUUUUAUGUUUUUUAUUGAUUCAUUUUGAAACAACCUUUGAAUAAUUUUCAAACUAAAACAAUAUUAUUUUUUAUUUUAACAAAAACCCAUCUUUUCUGUCUCAUAGUUUUUUUGUUUAUUCAUUUUUGUUUUUUUAGAAAGAGUCUUGCUUUGUCGCCCAGGCUGGAGUGCAGUGGUGCUAUCUUGGCUCACUGCAACCUCCACCUCCUGGGUUCAAGCGAUUCUCCCACCUCAGCCUCCGGAGUAACUGGGGUUACAGGCACCUGCCACCAUGACUGGCUAAUUUUUGUAUUUUUAGUAGAGACAUGGUUUCAACAUGUUGGCCAGGCUGGUCUCGAACUCCUGAGCUCAGGUGAUCCACCGCCUCAGCUUCCCAAAGUGCUGGGAUUACAAGCAUGAGCCACCGUGCCUGGCCAGUAUAUUUCAUAGGUUUCAAAGAAAAAAUACACCUUAUUUUUCUGUUAUGCUUUGCGUAUAAAGUUGCUUCCCCUAAUAUUUCUAGAAAUUCCAAUUACAUUAAUAUGAUUAAUUAAUAAGAAUUGUUAACUUUUAGUGUCUUUAAUUUCCAGUGAACACUAGAGAACUAGAAGGUAUGCAGUCAUGAACUGUUUUCUUCCAAGUUUGCAAGCACACGAUUUCAUACUUUCUAGAAACACGAUUCCUAGUCCUAUGACACAGGACAGGAAAUGGCAGAGGAAAGGUUUAAUAGGCCCAAAUAUCUUUUGUUCUUCUGUAAUAGGUAGGCAAAGUAAGUUCUAAAUUUAUGUUCAGCAAUAAAUGUUUCAGUAUCAUAUUAAUAUCUUAUUUGGAAAUGAUCUAGAUAUUCAAUACAUAUUGCUAUGGUUUGAAUGUUUUUCUGCUCUGAAAAUCAUAUUAAAACUAAAUCCCCAAUGUAACAGUACUCAGACGUAGGGGCUUUAAGAUGUGAUUCCAUCAUGAGGGCCCUGCCUUCAUGAACAGAUUAAUCCUUCACAGAUUAAUGGGUUAUCGUGAGUGUGAAGUAAUUGCAAUUUGUGCGUGAUAUGGUUUGGAUCUGUGUUCCCACCAAAUCUCAUGUUGAAUUGUAAUCCCAGAUGUUGGAGGUAAGGCCUGGUGGGAGGUGAUUGGGUCGUGGGAGGCUUCUCAUGAAUGAUUAACCACAAUUUUGUGGUGCUGUUCUCCUGAUACUGAGUGAGUUGUCCUGAGAUCUGGUUGUUUGUAAGUGUGUGGCACCUUCCCCUCUCUACCUCCUGCUCUGGCCAUGUGAGACAGCUCACUCCCCCUUUGCCUUCUGCCAUGAUUGGAGGCUUCCUGAGGUCUCCUAGAAGCAGAAGCUGCCAUGCUUCCUGUACAGCUUGCAGAACCGUGAGCUAAUUAACUUCUUUUCUUUAUAAAUUACUCAGGCUUAGGUAUUUCUUUAUAGCAAUGCAAAACAGACUAAUACAGUGUGACUCUGUUGUAAAAGGCUGUUUGUCUCUCAGUGAGUCCCCUUGCCAUAUAAUUCCUGCACCAACUUGGGACGCUGCAGAGAGACUUUGUAUUAGUUUGUUCUCACAUUGCUAUAAAUUAGUACCAGACACUGGGUGAUUUAUAAAGAAAAGAGGUUUAUUUGGCACACAGGUCCACAAGCUGUACAGGAAGCAUGAUGCUGGCAUCUGCUUGGCUUCUAGGGAGGCCUCAGGAAAGUUACAAUCACAGCAGAAGGCAAAGGAAGACAGCACUUCACAUGGCCAGAGCAGGAGGAAGAGAGAAUGGGGAGGUGCCACACAUUUUUUAACAAUCAGAUCUCAUGAGAACUCACUCACUGUCAGAAGGACAGUACCGAGAGGAAUGGUGUUAAAACAUUUAUGAGAAAUCUGCCCUCAUAAUCCAAUCACCUCCACCAGGCCCCACCUCCAACACUGGGGACUACAAUUCAACAUGAGACUUUGGUGGGGCCACAGAUCCAAACCAUAUCAGAGCCCAUUAGCAAGAAGGCCCUCCCUAGAUUUGGCCUGUUGACUGCCCUUGGACUUCCUAGCCCCAAGAACCAUAAUACAUAAAUUUAUUUUCUUUAUAAAUUACCCACUCCCUACUCUGAGGUAUUCAGUGAUAGCAACAGAAAACAGACUAAUACAAAUAACCAUCAUUUAACUUAGGUUAAUAUAAGAUUUUUAAGUUACCAAAAAUUAAAUAUAAAAAUAUUUAAAAGUAGACAUCUUGGCUAGGUGCAGUGGCUCACGCCCAUAAUCCCAGCACUUUGGGAGGCCGAGCCACCAUGCCCGGCCACACGUAAGUGUUUUGAUUAGUAAAUCCAGGUAGAAGUUGUAUGUGUGAACUGUAAAUAAUGUUGACAACUCUUAAGAAUUGUCUGUUUUAAUUAAACCAAGAAACUUAAACUAGCUUUCUAUUUACUAAAGAUUAUCUCAGAUCACGUGACCUUGAAAAACAUUUAGAUGGGCUCCAGUUUUUCUAAGAAAAUGCUCCAUUUAUGGAAGCAAUUCUUUUCUUUCUUUUAACCAAAUCUUUGCAUAGGUACCAAAUAACACAUUUGUUUAGGAUGAGAGCUGCCCACUGCCCCCGCCAAAAAAAAGUACUUUUAUAUACAAA